rnacentral:tRNA from 2 species
CCGCCCGUGGCACAGCUGGAUAGCGCGGCCCCCUCCUAAGGGGCAGGUCACAGGUUCGACUCCUGUCGGGCGGACCA